rnacentral:sRNA from 1 species
AAGGGCAGGAGAUCAGAGUUUGGAUUGAAAAAA